GCAGGAGUGAGGGCAGGAGCGAGCAAGGCAGUAAGGUACAGCGAAAGAAAAUAUUUUUCAAAUGCCCUUCCCUGGGUGGAAGGAAUAUCACACCUGGGGCACUGGGAAGGAGGAUAUGGAACAACUGUCCAGGAACAGAGGACAGAGGGGCUGGCACGGGGCUCUGAGCAGGUCAUGGAAGGAGCUGGCCUGAUGAGCACAUACCCAUGCCCCUCACGCAACAGGACUGUCCCUGUUCUGUCCAAUGCCUUCCAGGGGCAGCAUUCCCAGGCCAAUUCAGCAAAGCUAAAGAGAAAUACACAUGGUUGGGUUCAAUGUAAGCCAGAGGCGGAAAUAGCAACCACAGGAGGUGGUGAAGUUGAGGAAGAAAAUCAAGUGCUGUUGUUGGGCUGCUCUAUGAGGGCUCCAAGCAUGGGAUGGAGACCCGGACUACGUGUCCCCUGGGAUUUUAUAUUCUAAUAAUUUUCCCUUGCCACUCCUCUGGACCCUAUUCCAGAGUAGAGAAGGUCAGAAAAACUCUGACCAAUAACCAGGAUAAAUAAAUACGGAAAAUAGGAGUAGCCCGAAGGCUGGGAACAAGAAGGUGGGUAGACAGGCGCCCCUCAGGGAGGUGGAGGGGUUUUGUGAGAAGGGGUGGGACAGGGCGGAGACUCGGACCCCAGGAGCCGACGGCACCCCUAGGGGUGGAGGCAGACCCCGGGCUCUCUGAGGCUACCGGUGCCAGUCAUCCCGCCAAGGAGGGCGGCCUAAAUCCUCAAGGGACUCGCAGGCGCCUGAGAUUCCACUCCCAGCCCCUGAAAACACCACGGACUUCAGUUUCGGGGUUCUCAAAGGACUGCUCAAAUCCCGCAGAAAACGCAAAGCAUCAGAAACCCCCCGCACCACCCUCCCAAGUUCCUCAAGUCCGAGCGCCGGAACCAAAGGUUCCAGAAACGGGCGGGGCGACGGACGUGGGCCUGCGGGAAUCAGGGCCGAACGGAGCCGCGAGAGCGUCCGGAGCUCAGAAAUCUCGCCCGCGACGACCCCGGGAGGGCGGCGAGGUCUAGUACUAAUAAAGAGAAGAAGAUCGGAGCAGCUUUGACAUGAAUGGAUCCAUCUGGCCUGGUCUCCAUACAAGUUUCCUAUGAGUUUGGUCACAGACCCUUCAAGCAAUUGUUUAAAUGAGAAGAUGCUACAUUUUCAAGCAGAGACUGAUUCACUGUAGCUUAAUAAAUUUUUACUGAGCCCAUACUGUGUAUAUUUUGUCCUGAGCUUCAGAAACCAGGAAAUCCCAUUGGGUAAGGGGAGCCUGGUGCAGGGAUCAGCAGCCUGAAUGAAUUCUGCUAAACAACUUUCAUCUGGCUUUAGCUAUUUCUGUUGAGCUGUCAACACAGAUGUUGGGUUUUGCUCU
rnacentral:lncRNA from 1 species